rnacentral:rRNA from 1 species
AAAAUUUAAAUUAAAAAUACUAAAAUAGUAGGUAAUUAUUUAUUGAAACUUAAAUAAUUUGGCGGUAUUUUAGUUCAUUUAGAGGAAUCUGUUUAAUAAUUGAUAAUCCACGAAUAAAUUUACUUAAUUUAGAAUUUUAUAUAUCGUUGUUAUAAAAAUAUUUUUUAAUAAAAUUAAUAUUUAAAAAUUAAAAUUAAAAUUUAAAUCAGAUCAAGAUGUAGAUUAUAAUUAAGAAUAUAAUGGAUUACAAUAAAUUUAUUUAAAUGAAUAUUAAUUUGUAAAAAUUAAUUGAAGGUGGAUUUAAAUGUAAUUUUAUUUAAUUUAAUAUAAUGAUUAAAAAUUAAAAUAUGU